AACGAACGCUGGCGGCAGGCUUAACACAUGCAAGUCAAGCGCCCCGCAAGGGGAGCGGCAGACGGGCGAGUAACGCGUGGGAAUCUACCCAUCUCUACGGAAUAACGCAUGGAAACGUGUGCUAAUACCGUAUACGUCCUUCGGGAGAAAGAUUUAUCGGAGAUGGAUGAGCCCGCGUUGGAUUAGCUAGUUGGUGGGGUAAAGGCCUACCAAGGCGACGAUCCAUAGCUGGUCUGAGAGGAUGAUCAGCCACACUGGGACUGAGACACGGCCCAGACUCCUACGGGAGGCAGCAGUGGGGAAUAUUGGACAAUGGGCGCAAGCCUGAUCCAGCCAUGCCGCGUGGGUGAUGAAGGCCCUAGGGUUGUAAAGCCCUUUCAGCGGGGAAGAUAAUGACGGUACCCGCAGAAGAAGCCCCGGCUAACUUCGUGCCAGCCGCCGCCGUAAUAC
rnacentral:rRNA from 1 species